rnacentral:misc_RNA from 1 species
CUUUUUUACCUUCCACAGCUUUCGUUGAUAAAGGGGAGAUUCUGUCUCACUGCCGCAGUGUGAUGCGAAAGGACAGGCAGCAAGGAAAUAGAGAGGAGAUAUACGCUAGUGAUCGAACAACUGAAGAAACACAGCAGCUGUGAAAUAUCAAAGUUUCAAAGAGAGAUGGCGCUUGUAGAUCAGGGGGAUCGGGCUUUCUUAGAGCUGGUUUUCAAGUUCAUAGAUGACAAAAACAGUACGGAUGACGUGGACUUCACGCAGCCGCACGUGCGACGAUCCCUACGUUACGUCUACCCGCUAUUUAUGUUUCUUCAUGCCUUGGUUGGUCUAUUUGGUUUGUGUGGAAACCUUGCAAUCAUAAUUGUUAUAGGGAAACGAAGAUUAUACAGGGACCAGACGUUCCUGUUUCUUGGAAACAUCGCCUUUUCUGACAUUCUUAAAUGUAUAUUUGUUCUUCCUGUUUCACUGGCUAACUUGCUUAUUCAUAACUGGAUAUUUGGAAGCUUCAUGUGUUUCUUUCUACCAAUGCUGCAAUGUUUUCCAAUUCAUUCGUCAAUGCUUACAUAUCUUAUGAUCGCUAUCGACAGAUAUCGGCUGAUUGUUAAUCCUUUCCGGCCCCGCUUGCCCGCAGGGUUGUGCAUCAUAGGUGUAUGGGUGGUUUCUGUGUGUAUUGUUCUCCCUUAUGCUGUAUAUAUAAAAUACAUUGACCUGGGUGCCAUUCUAGGAUACAGGUUUCUCGGUGUUGGUAUAUGUUACAUCAACCAAGAACGACAUAUCGAGGAAUAUAUCAGAGCUAUGUUUGUAACUCUUUAUGCCAUGCCACUUGCCAUCAUGGGAUUUUUGUGCCUAAAAGUUUCAGCGGAACUGAAAUCAUUAGAUACCAGCUCCAUAUCUAUCCACUUCGAAACAAAUUCAAAUAACGUCACGUGUACCUCUCGUCUAACUCUCGAAGAUGACGAGACGUCUAGAGUUGGAUCAGAGGAUUCGAACCAACGACAUACGGUACGUUCUGAUCACAUGUGUAGCGAUGACGACCUUGACCUGCCAGCAGAAAAGCGAACACAUAGAUACAUUAUAUCGAUGGUGACCUUGUUUGCUAUUUGCUGGUGUCCGCUCAACAUUCUGAUUUUGGUCCAAUUCUUCGUUCAUGAAAGUGGAAAUAACACUGGACAUUUUGAUAUAACGUAUACAACAUUUACAUGGUUUGGUUUCUUGUCAACAUGCGUUAAUCCGGUAUUGUUUGCCUCCUGGAAAAUGUCGGAUUCCACGAAGGACAAACUGAGGGGUUAUUUCAAGUUUGGCAUGAAAAGAAAAUCCAAAAAGCAGAUUUCAGUCCCAGUGUCAACAUUUAGAGGGGCGCUGACCAUUCAGAAUGGAAACACUCCAGAACCGCUAUAAGCUACAUAGACUGCCCAAGGACCAUGAUGCGACGUAUAAUACACCAUUUAUUCAUGUUACUAAUAUGUAUGCUAUCUUUUGAUAUUAACUUUAUUUGGGUAAACAUUGUAUUUAUAUUCAGUUAACCAAGUAUAUAAGAUUGUUCCAUAAAAAAACCUUUUUUCAAAUCAUGAAAUAACCUAUUUUCGUGUGUAUCUACCAUUUGUACGUCAUAUUGUAUUGUUGUUUUGAAUAAAGUUUUCGUCUAAACACUCAAGGCCA